ACGAACGCUGGCGGCGCGUCUUAAGCAUGCAAGUCGGACGGCAAGAGAAGUGCUUGCACUUCUCCUAGAGUGGCGGACUGGUGAGUAACAGGUGGGUGACAUACCCUCAGAUGGGGAUAGCCGGUAGAAAUACCGGGUAAUACCGAAUACGCUCGUACAUCUCGGAAGUGUACGAGGAAAGGAGCUACGGCUUCGCUGUUGGAUUGGCCCGCUUCCCAUUAGCUAGUUGGUGAGGUAAUGGCCCACCAAGGCUAUGAUGGGUAUCCGGCCUGAGAGGGUGAUCGGACACAUUGGGACUGAGAUACGGCCCAGACUCCUACGGGAGGCAGCAGCUAAGAAUAUUCCGCAAUGGACGAAAGUCUGACGGAGCGACGCCGCGUGGAUGAUGAAGGCCGGAAGGUUUGUAAAAUCCUUUAGCAAGUGAGGAAUAAGCAGAGCAGGGAAUGGCUCUGUGGUGACUGUAGCUUGAGAAUAAGCAUCGGCUAAUUACGUGCCAGCCGCCGC
rnacentral:rRNA from 1 species